rnacentral:rRNA from 1 species
AUGGAUUUCUGUCUUCCCGAGCUUGACAGCCUUAGCUCCCACCUGUUCGCCUGGCAUUGGCUCCCUUCUAGUGGGAACAAUGGCCACUUGGGUGGCAUCCUCUUAGGUGUUAAGGAUGCCACCUUUGAGGUGGGAGGUAUGGAUCGGGGCGAGUUCUUCGUUAGUAUGGAGAUCUUCGAGCGUGCGCUCAAAUUUAAAUGGGAGGUCAUCAUCGUCUACGGACCGGCAGACCACAGCCGCUCCCCGACCUUCCUCGCCGAGCUGCAGCAGAAGAUCUCCGCUUCCCCACUCCCUGUUGUGGUGGGAGGUGACUUUAACCUCAUCCGCUCCCCGAAUGAGAAGAACAAUGACCGGGUUAAUCGCCCCCGGAUGCAGAUGUUUAACGAAUGCAUCGCGGAGCUGGGCCUCCGUGAGCUCGAGCGCACGGGGGCCCGGUUCACCUGGACUAACCGCCAGGCGAACCCAACGCAGUCUGUCCUUGACCGCGCCUUAGUUUCCCCGGAAUGGGAGCUCAGAUGCCCCCUGACCUCGGUUCAGGCUAUUACCAGGAUCGGCUCUGAUCAUGUUCCUCUUCUCCUCUCCUCUGCUGAUGAACGCCCCCCAUCCCCCCUCGGUUCCGGUUUGAGCUCUUCUGGCUCAACCAGGCCGGGUUCCGCGAGGCUGUUGCGGCUAAGUGGACCGCCGCGUGCAAUUCCCCUCACCGCGCCAUGUCCGCGGUGGACUCCUGGCAGUUCUACGCCAAGCUAG